rnacentral:rRNA from 1 species
AGCAGCGGUAAUACGAGUGCCUCAAGCGUUAUCCGGAAUCAUUGGGCGUAAAGGUUGUGUAGGUGGUCAUAUUAGUCUCUUGUUAAAUUCUUCGGCUUAACCGGGGGCAUGCAAGGGAAACGGUAUGACUAGAGGAUGCGAGGGGUCUGCGGAACUCAUAGUGUAGCGGUGAAAUGCGUUGAUAUUAUGGGGAACACCAAAAGCGAAGGCAGCAGACUGGAGCACUCCUGACACUGAAACAAGAAAGCGUGGGUCGCGAAUGGGAUUAGAUACCCCAGUAGUCCACGCCCUAAACGAUCUUCUCUUGCUUUUCGGAGUAUCGACCCUCUGAGAGGCGAAGCUAACGCGUUAAGAGAAGCGCCUGGGUAGUACGACCGCAAGGUUAAAACUCAAAGGAAUAGACGGGGACUUGCACAAGCGGUGGAUCAUGUGGCUCAAUUCGACGGUAAACGAAGAACCUUACCAGGGUUUGAAACCUAGCUGAAUACUUUAGGAAACUAGAGUAGUCGCAAGACAGUUAGGCAGGUGAUGCAUGGCCGUCGUCAGUUCGUGGCUUGAGUUGUUCCCUUCAGUGGGGUAACGAACGCAACCCUCGUUGUCUGUUAUAUUUGUCAGGCGAGACUGCCCACGACAUAGCGCAUAAGCGUUUGUUGUGUGAGACGGUGUAUUUUUAAGGAGACUCCAUCGAGCGCGUCGGCGCAAGAUGAAGAAGAUUUUUACCAAAAAAUCUUCGUGUCUCCGAAAAAUAUACCGUCUCACAUAAACUAAGUUUGUGCUCUGCGUCGUGGGAGGAAGGUGAGGAUGACGCCAGGUCAGCAUGUCCCUUUGAUACCCUGGGCUGCACACGUGAUACAAUCGUAUCUACAACAGGACGCAAUACCGAUAAAAGGUGGAGCAAAUCCUUAGAAAAGAUACGUCAGUUUGGAUUGAGGUCUGCAACUCGACCUCAUGAAACCGGAAUCGCUAGUAAUCGCAGGUCAGCUAUACUGCGGUGAAUACGUUCUCAAGUCUUGUACUCACCGCCCGUCAACUCAAGGGAGCCG